rnacentral:lncRNA from 1 species
UCAUCCUUAGGGAAUAACUGAAUCAUGAGGCGGUAUUUAAGGAUAGUAUGAUACUCAACCGGGGACAUGUGUUGGCCUAACCCAUCAAUGGAGAUAGCGAGGAGAAAGUCUUGAACAUUUGCCACUUUCAAACACCCAAAAACUGUAUUUUGCUUUAUGGUCAUGACAAAAUCAACUUUCAUGUCAAGAACAAUUUUACCAAAAAGAAUACUCGCCAAAACAUG